GGGAGAGGGGAGCGGGGCCGACACAGGACUGCAGUUGACAGCAGAUAACUGAAAGCUUGGAAAGUGAAACCGUGGAUAAGCAGGGGAACUGUGGCAUCCCAUUUAAAAUUGCUUCUGAAGAGAAGCAUGAGGUUACAUCUGUAAUCUCCCUGCAGCAGAGUCAACUGCAUAAGAAACCAAAAGACACAUCUGCUCCAUGCCAGCCUAAGCCACCACAUAAAAAGUCAGACCAUCUGCUGGAAGAACCACAUGGAGAGGCCCUGAGUCGACAUGGAGAGGAAGAAGGACUUGAUUGAAUCCAGCCUUCCAGCUGUCCCUACCAAGGUGCCAGGCACGAGAAUGAAGCUGUCUUGGACUCUGAAGACCAGCUUAGCCACCAGGUAAAUGCCACUAAGUGACCUCACUCAAUGUCAUGUGGGAUGGAAGAAUCACCCAGCCAAACCCUUCCUGGAUCCCUGACCCAGAAAUUUGUCAGAUGUAAUGGUUGUGUAAAGCCACUCAAUUUGGGGGCAGUUUGUAUGCAGCAUAGCUAGCUGGUAUGAUACAACAGCCUGCAAUUCAGGCAGCAGCAGCACUAACAACCAUGAA
rnacentral:antisense_RNA from 1 species